AAAUAAAACCUUUUUUUCCUAAAAAAAAAACUUAAAAAUUAUAUAUCGCUGGAUUCUCAAACCCCCCCCCCCAGAAAUGAUGAACCCUAGAUCGCCUUCAAUUGAUUGCUCGAAUCUCUUGUUACUCGAUUACUCAUUUCUGAUCGAUUCUCUUUUGCUUGAAGUGCUUCCAAUUGAUACGAAUGAAUUGCUAAAUCGCCCAAAUCGAAAGUUUCAGUGCCUCUAUGGAUUUUAAGAUCAGAGUCCUACAGGCCUACUGCUGUUGUAAGGGAGGCUAUGAAAGGGUGGGUGUCUCAGCGAUCCUAUUCCUUUGAGAUGUUCAAUAAGGAUUAGGAGAAAAUCAGGAGGAUGAAAGUGCUAGCUGCAAACAUAGAAGAAACUGUUCGUCUUGAGUCUAGUUCAGCUGUUCAAUCCCAGUUCGUGGACACGAAAAUGGUCUUUGGUCCCAGUAUAGCUGUUGCAACUCAGCAAAUAGAUUUUCAACACAAGUGUUGCCACUGUUUUCGCUAGCUAGCUGAUGCUAUGUGCCAAUAUUACUAUUGUUUGCUGCAUCCACGCUGACUGUUUUUAUAGAUAUUAGAGGUCCAUAAGAGACCGUAGUUUACUUUCUUUUAUUUUGAUUAUUAUUUGUGUUCAUGGAUAUUUUU